rnacentral:rRNA from 1 species
AGCUCCAAUAGCGUAUAUUAAAGUUGUUGCAGUUAAAAAGCUCGUAGUUGGAUUUGUGGCAGUCGUCAGCAUCCCAGCACUCAGUGUUGGUGUUUGCAGACGUCGCCAUCCUUGGGUGGAACCUGCGUGGCAUUAGGUUGUCGUGUAGGGGAUGCCCAUCGUUUACUGUGAAAAAAUUAGAGUGUUCAAAGCAGGCUUAUGCCGUUGAAUAUAUUAGCAUGGAAUAAUAAGAUAGGACCUUGGUACUAUUUUGUUGGUUUGCGCACCGAGGUAAUGAUUAAUAGGGACAGUUGGGGGUAUUCGUAUUCCAUUGUCAGAGGUGAAAUUCUUGGAUUUUUGGAAGACGAACUACUGCGAAAGCAUUUACCAAGGAUGUUUUCAUUAAUCAAGAACGAAAGUA